rnacentral:misc_RNA from 1 species
CCGGGGAGCGGCUCCGUGAAGGGGACGACGACGACGAGAAGGAGCGGGAGCGGGAGCGCGACCGGGAGGAGCCGGAGCCCGAGGAGGCGGAGCGGGACGGCGAGCGAGAGGAGGAUCCCGAGGAGGAGCGCGAGGCGGAGCGGCCGCGGCGCGGCUUCGCCAUCGUCUCCGGCGGCGGAGGCGACCGAUGGGCGGGUUUGGG